AAAGAGUAGUGUGAACUGAACUGAGC
rnacentral:piRNA from 1 species